GAGAAUGGGGCAAAUAACUUUUCUGUUUUUCUGUUGUUUAGAAAAUUUGAUAAAAAUUGGGAUGAAGUGCUGAUUGAACAAGUAUAGUUCAGAUGCCUGGGAGCAGUUAAGAAUAAAGAAAAAUGAUGGGAAGCUUCCUGUGGCUGUCUAACCUCUGCAAGAUUAAAAGGAGUUCUGGAAGUACUCACUGCAGAGACAAAUGGAAAUGAGUCCACUCUAGGAAGAAGAAUAACUGGAAGCUUGAGCUGUGUAAAUGUGACUUGGAAAUGUGACUUCAGGAGAAAGAACCAGGUUUGACACUGUGGGCUAAUCUUAAACAGGGACAGUAAUUGGAGCAGAAUGGCCACAAAUGAGCCG
ensembl:lincRNA